CUGUAGCUAGAAUGCCGUACCUGAGCUAUGUGACGAUGCUGCACCUCUAUGAGUCUUUUGGAUGGUGGCGACGUGCGGCUGCUGUCAAACGAGUGCAUUUUGCAGAGGAGUGGAACGAAUUUCACCAUCUACUCACCUUUGAGGCU
rnacentral:ribozyme from 1 species